GGGAGAGAAAGGGCCAGGUGACCAGGCUGAAAGCAACCAUUCCUGGGUAACCGUCUGGAGAAGACUGCUUUGGAAGAAGCCAGGAACCUGCUGGAAUUUGAACCCACAUUAAUUUUGAUUUUCUAAAAUGCCGCAUUAAGAUAUCUUGCUCACCGAGUCAAUUCUGUGCUGAGUCAACUGUCACCCUCACCUCACCUGUCUAGUCCUGUUCGUCCUGAAUGCCCUCUUGUUGCUGUCCGUGAAUCAGAGAGGUGUGGAUGGACAGAAGGAGAUGAUCGCCCUGGGCCGCCCAGCCCUGGAGUUCCAGCUUGCCCUGCAGGGAAGGUGAAAAGGACGGUCUUGCUCUGGGGCUUGCAUAGACUUGGAGCCUCUUAAACCUUCCUGAGCACCAGCUGCCUCCCAGGGCCCAGGAGGGCCUGGUGUGUGCCCGCUGCCCUGACUGCCCGCUCUGCCCACUAGAUGGCGCGCUGGUUGCACAGGUGAGCACGGGGCCCCCUCCACCCCUGCCCCACCACCCCAGCUUUUGUGAAUUGCUGGCCAGUUUGGAGAACACCUGUCCAGUUGAUCCCCACCGCGGGCCCAAAGCAUAGACGAGACUGAGGCACGGAGAGGCGAGCUGAGGUGACACACCUGAUGCCUUUAACAUAUUAACAUUGGCUGUGGGGUCUGGCAUUGUACCUGCCAUAGCCAAACUCCCCUUCCUCCUGGAUCACUUUUUCUUGGUCUGUUUUAGAGGUACCUGUGCCAACCUGGUGAGAGCCAUUGGACCCCUCCUUGGAAAAAGUUUGAAAAUAAUUUCCUGGGCUUCCAGAACAGCCCAGGAAUAGAUGAAGCACCUCUUUCCUGCACGUUUGCAGUAUAUGCGUUUGAUUUGGGGUUUAGAGUUAACUCCUAACAUUCUGUUUCAGAUACGAAUUUAACCAUGCAAUCCAUCCAUUCCUUGAAGAAAUAUUUAUUGAGCACCUACUAUGUGCAAACCACUAGAGAUACUUGCCUUUGUGGAGCUCAUGUUCUGGGGAGUUGGGGGUGGCAAAUGAUAAAAACAGGCAAAAUUACAGUAGUUAUUAAUGCUCUAAAUAGUCUCAGUUCUCCUUUUCUGGGCGCAUGGUAGGAUUUUACUCCCUGGUCUUGUGAUUGCGAGAAACCAUGUGGCCAGUUCUGCCCAAUGAAUUGAGAAAUGAUGUUACUUCCAGGCCAAAGCAUUUGAUUGCUGAUGAGAGACCCUCUAGAGCCUUCCCUCUGCCCCUGGACGUGGAAACUAGAAACAUUUCAGAUGGAGGCUGUGCAGUCAGCCUAGGUCCCUGAGCCUUGUAGCACAAGUGAGAAAUCAACAUUUGUUUCUUUAAGUCACUGAGAUUUUGAGGGUGUUUGUUAUUGCAACAACAAAAGAAAUCUUAAAUAAUUAUUCAAAAGUAAUUUGGGGGCUUCCCUGGUGGCGCAGUGGUUGAGAGUCUGCCUGCCGAUGCAGGGAACACAGGUUCGUGCCCCGGUCCGGGAAGAUCCCACAUGCCGCGGAGCAGCUGGGCCCGUGAGCCAUGGCCGCUGAGCCUGCGCGUCCGGAGCCUGUGCUCCGCAACGGGAGAGGCCACAACAGUGAGAGGCCCGUGUACCACAAAAAAAAAAAAAAAAAAAGUAAUUUGGCUAACUUCUCUUCAUUUAUUUUAUAUUUAUUAAUAUGUUACUUCUAUGAUGACAAUAAAAAUGAUAUUCUUAGGAAAAAUAAAUAAAAUGUCUACUAGACCCCAAGUGGAGAUGUGUGGGAGACACUGGAUGAUUGAGUCUGGAGUUAGGAGAAUAUAAAUUUGGGAGUCAUUGACAGAAAGAUGGUAUCAAUAGUUUAACGUCUCAAAACACUUUGGCUGGUUAUGAAGAGAAACUUUGAAGUGCAGCGUUAUAGCCAGGGCCGAUUCUAAGGGCUUAGAUGAGGAUUAGGGAAGACGAUGUGGUGAGCUUACUGUCACCUUUGAUGGUGUCAGGGAGGUUAUUCUGUUCUCUUUGCUUUAGGAAUGUCAAGGUCAUGGUCCAUUGCAUCAUGCAAUGCUCCUCCAUCCUACUAAAUUUCAUCUUUUGCUAAAUCCUGGGAGAAGUUCUGCUUUCCCUGAGGAACUGACAUGCUUCCUCUUUCCCCAAAAUGAAAAUCAUGAAAAGAUUGUGUGUCUCUUUUCUCUUCAGUUGCCAGGGAGCUCAAAGCCAAAUUUGAAACUCAACUUUACUACAUUAACCACUUGCACCUGUAAAGCCUGCAUAUUUGUGUUUUUACUUUCCCUCCCCCUGACUUCUUACUUUAAAUUCCCAGUCUUAAUUUUUAAAAUUUUUAUUUUAUCAUGUGUUCUUGCUAGAGUCAUCUCAAGUCUAUAUGGAAUGAGGUGGAGUGUAAAAUAAAGAAAGGAAUGUAACUGAA